rnacentral:rRNA from 1 species
UGGGGAAUCUUGCGCAAUGGGCGAAAGCCUGACGCAGCGACGCCGCGUGGGUGACGAAGGCCUUCGGGUCGUAAAGCCCUGUGGGGAGGGACGAACAAGCAGCAAUGCCCUGACGGUACCUCCUUAGCAAGCACCGGCCAACUCCGUGCCAGCAGCCGCGGUAAGACGGAGGGUGCAAACGUUGUUCGGAAUUACUGGGCGUAAAGCGCGUGUAGGCGGUCCGAAAAGUCGGGUGUGAAAUCCCUCGGCUCAACCGAGUGAAUUGCAUUCGAUACUGCCGGACUGGAGUUCGGGAGAGGGACGUGGAAUUCCCGGUGUAGAGGUGAAAUUCGUAGAUAUCGGGAGGAACACCGGUGGCGAAGGCGGCGUCCUGGACCGAUACUGACGCUGAGACGCGAAA